GGGUUAGUAGGUUGGUCAUGCCUCCGGUAUGUACUGGUCUCACUGAUUCCUCCUUCCUGAUGAGCCGUAAUGCCAUUAAUUUGGUGUUAUGGGAAAUCAGGACUGUUACUUUGAAAAAAUUAGAGUGUUUAAAGCAGGCUCACGCUUGAAUACAUUAGCAUGGAAUAACGGAAUAGGACGUUUGAUUCUAUUUUGUUGGUUUCUAGGAUUGACGUA
rnacentral:rRNA from 1 species